UUUAUUAGAAGAGACGCAUUUAUUAGAUAAAAAGCCAGUUCAUGCUUUUACAGUAUGAAAAUUGGUGAUUUAUAAUAACUUAGCAAAUCGCAAAGUGAAAACAGGCGAUAAAUCAUUCAAGUUUCUGACCUAUCAGCUUUCGACGGUAUGGUAUUGGCUUACCGUGGCAGUGACGGUUAACGGGGGAUUAGGGUUCGAUUCCGGAGAGGGAGCCUGAGAAACGGCUACCACAUCUAAGGAAGGCAGCAGGCGCGCAAAUUACCCAAUUCUAACAGUUUGAGAGAGGUAGUAACAAGAAAUAACAAUACAAGGCAGUUAAAAUGCUUUGUAAUUGGAAUGAUAGAAAUUUAAACCCUUUUUAAAGUAUCAAUUGGAGGGCAAGUCUGGUGCCAGCAGCCGCGGUAAUUCCAGCUCCAAUAGCGUAUAUUAAAAUUGUUGCAGUUAAAAAGCUCGUAGUUGAAGUUCUGCUGAAAGUAACCGGUCUGCUUUUAAUAAAAGUGGUAUCUUGGUAUGUAUUUAGCAAUGAUGUCCUUUGAAGUGUUUUUUACUUUAUUGUAAUAAAGCAUAUUCAGGACUUUUACUUUGAGAAAAUUAGAGUGUUUCUAGCAGGCUGACGCUUUGAAUACUGCAGCAG
rnacentral:rRNA from 1 species